rnacentral:rRNA from 1 species
ACUCCUACGGGAGGCAGCAGUGGGAAUAUUGCACAAUGGGCGCAAGCCUGAUGCAGCCAUGCCGCGUGUAUGAAGAAGGCCUUCGGGUUGUAAAGUACUUUCAGCAGUGAGGAAGGCGGGUACGUUAAAUAGCGUGCUCGUUUUGACGUAGCNGCAGAAGAAGCNCCGGGCUAACUCCGUGCCAGCAGCCGCGGUAAUACGGAGGGUGCGAGCGUUAAUCGGAAUUACUGGGCGUAAAGCGCAUGCAGGCGGCCUGUUAAGUCAGAUGUGAAAGCCCGGGGCUCAACCUCGGAAUUGCAUUUGAAACUGGCAAAACUAGAGUACUGUAGAGGGGGGUAGAAUUUCAGGU